ACCAGACUCCUACGGGAGGCAGCAGUGGGGGAUAUUGCACAAUGGGGGAAACCCUGAUGCAGCGACGCCGCGUGAAGGAAGAAGUAUUUCGGUAUGUAAACUUCUCUCAGCAGGGAAGAAAAUGACGGUACCUGACUAAGAAGCCCCGGCUAACUACGUGCCAGCAGCCGCGGUAAUACGUAGGGGGCAAGCGUUAUCCGGAUUUACUGGGUGUAAAGGGAGCGUAGGCGGCGAUGCAAGUCAGAAGUGAAAGCCCGGGGCUCAACUCCGGGACUGCUUUUGAAACUGUAUGGCUAGAUUGCAGGAGAGGCAAGUGGAAUUCCUAGUGUAGCGGUGAAAUGCGUAGAUAUUAGGAGGAACACCAGUGGCGAAGGCGGCUUGCUGGACUGUAAAUGACGCUGAGGCUCGAAAGCGUGGGGAGCAAACAGGAUUAGAUACCCCUGUAUG
rnacentral:rRNA from 1 species